UGGGGAAUAGUCUAGUGGUAGGACAGCAGACUCUGAAUCUGCCAGGGUAGGUUCGAAUCCUACUUCCCCAGCCA
rnacentral:tRNA from 1 species